GUGCCAGCCGCCGCGGUAAUACCGGCAGCCCGAGUGAUGGCCGAUCUUAUUGGGCCUAAAGCGUCCGUAGCUGGCUGCGCAAGUCCGUCGGGAAAUCCACUCGCCCAACGAGUGGGCGUCCGACGGAAACUGCACAGCUUGGGACCGGAAGAUCCGAGGGGUACGUCCGGGGUAGGAGUGAAAUCCCGUAAUCCUGGACGGACCGCCGGUGGCGAAAGCGCCUCGGAAGGACGGACCCGACGGUGAGGGACGAAAGCUGGGGUCUCGAACCGGAUUAGAUACCCGGGUAGUCC
rnacentral:rRNA from 1 species